GUCGAACGGAGGCCCUAGCUUGCUAGGUGUCCUUAGUGGCGCACGGGUGAGUAACACGUGGGAACAUACCUUAUAGUACGGAAUAACUGCGGGAAACUGUAGCUAAUACCGUAUACUCCAGUAAUGGGAAAGAUUUAUCGCUAUAAGAUUGGCCCGCGCAAGAUUAGCUUGUUGGUGAGGUAAAAGCUCACCAAGGCUUCGAUCUUUAGCUGGUUUGAGAGGACGAUCAGCCACACUGGGACUGAGACACGGCCCAGACUCCUACGGGAGGCAGCAGUAGGGAAUAUUGGACAAUGGGGGCAACCCUGAUCCAGCAAUGCAGCGUGAGUGACGAAGGCCUUAGGGUUGUAAAACUCUUUCAUCGGUGAGGAUAAUGACAGUAGCCGAAGAAGAAGGACCGGCUAAUUCCGUGCCAGCAGCCGCGGUAAUACGGAAGGUCCUAGCGUUGUUCGGAAUUACUGGGCGUAAAGCGCAUGUAGGCGGAACAGAAAGUUAGAAGUGAAAUCCCUGGGCUCAACCUAGGAAUUGCUUUUAAAACUUCUGUUCUGGAAUUCAGGAGAGGAAAAUGGAAUUUCCAGUGUAGAGGUGAAAUUCGUAGAUAUUGGAAGGAACACCAGUGGCGAAGGCGAUUUUCUGGACUGAUAUUGACGCUGAGAUGCGAAGGCAUGGGUAGCAAACGGGAUUAGAUACCCCGGUAGUCCAUGCAGUAAACGAUGGGUGCUAGUCGUCGGACUUAUGUUCGGUGUCGCAGCUAACGCGUUAAGCACCCCGCCUGGGGAGUACGGUCGCAAGAUUAAAACUCAAAUAAAUUGACGGGGACCCGCACAAGCAGUGGAGCAUGUGGUUUAAUUCGACGCAACGCGAAGAACCUUACCAGCGUUUGACAUGGAAAGUGCCGGUUACAGAAUGGUAACCUUCAGUUCGGCUGGCUUUCGCACAGGUGCUGCAUGGCUG
rnacentral:rRNA from 1 species